UACGGGGGGGGCAAGCGUUGUUCGGAAUUACUGGGCGUCAAGGGCUCGUAGGCGGCCAACUAAGUCGGAUGUGAAAUCCCCAGGCUUAACCUGGGAACUGCAUCCGAUACUGGAUGGCUUGAAUCCGGGAGAGGGAUGCAGAAUUCCAGGUGUAGCGGUGAAAUGCGUAGAUAUCUGGAGGAAUACCGGUGGCGAAGGCGGCAUCCUGGACCGGCAUUGACGCUGAGGAGCGAAAGCUAGGGGAGCAAACGGG
rnacentral:rRNA from 1 species